GAAGUCGAACUGAGAUCGGAAAUCUGUGCUAUCUCCACUCUAUAUUUUCUUACAAAUGACUCCUCGUAUUGCUCCAUCCAAAUAUUUCAUAGAGUUUCACAGGAAUAAAUGUAGAAUGCAGUGACACUAUGUUUGUGGACGGAUACACACACACAGAAUUUGAUGACAGCAAUGUCCCAAGAACAGGCGUAAAAUUAAUGAUUAAUAUUAAUCUGAGGAAUGGUACAAUGUGACACCAGUUGGAGCUCACUUCUCCUUUGCACAACAUUCGUCACGCUGUGUUUCCACGGCAGCCCACGUCUUCCUGUCAGGGCUUUGCUCGCCGCAGAAACAAUAAACUACUGCGGUGUGUUUAUGACAGAGAGCGAGAAAGACAGCGAAAGAGACAGAGAGAGAAAGAAAGAAAGAAAGUCUGAAUUUCUGCUUCCCAGCUGCGAACAUCGCUCAGUAUCGAUCGCUGGUGUUCGUCUGUGUGUGUGUGAGUGUGUUUGUGUGUGUUUCACACCUCAGGCUGUGUGUGUGUAACAGAGAAGUGAAUGAUUUGGGAUCACAGAGCUCAGUGAACGUGAAAAAAGCUGCUCCUCAGCUUCCAGGUUCGUCUCUUGGCCCGAGCUCCUCCUCAUCCCCGUCAUGGAGACGUUGUUCCUCAUCUUUGUGAUAUUUCUGGAGAGAAAGAUGUUGGAAUCUGCAGAGGGUGCGAGGGUGAGGCUGGUGAACAGCGGCAGCCCGUGUGCCGGAAGAGUGGAGG